rnacentral:rRNA from 1 species
AGAGUUUGAUCAUGGCUCAGAACGAACGCUGGCGGCAGGCCUAAUACAUGCAAGUCGAGCGCCCCGCAAGGGGAGCGGCGCACGGGUGAGUAACGCGUGGGAACGUGCCCUUAGGUGCGGAACAACGUCUGGAAACGGACGCUAAUACCGCAUAAUAUCUACGGAUCAAAGAUUUAUCGCCUAGGGAUCGGCCCGCGUUGGAUUAGCUAGUUGGUGAGGUAAUGGCUCACCAAGGCUACGAUCCAUAGCUGGUCUGAGAGGAUGAUCAGCCACACUGGGACUGAGACACGGCCCAGACUCCUACGGGAGGCAGCAGUAAGGAAUAUUGGACAAUGGAGGCAACUCUGAUCCAGCCAUGCCGCGUGUGUGAUGAAGGCCUUCGGGUUGUAAAGCACUUUUAGAUGUGACGAUGAUGACGGUAACAUCAGAAAAAGCUCCGGCUAACUUCGUGCCAGCAGCCGCGGUAAUACGAAGGGAGCGAGCGUUGUUCGGAAUCACUGGGCGUAAAGCGUGCGUAGGCGGUUUUGUAAGUAAGAAGUGAAAGCCUGGGGCUUAACCCCAGAAUUGCUUUUUAGACUGCAAAGCUAGAGUAUUGGAGAGGUUAGUGGAAUUCCGAGUGUAGAGGUGAAAUUCGCAGAUAUUCGGAGGAACACCAGUGGCGAAGGCGACUAACUGGACAAUUACUGACGCUGAGGCACGAAAGCGUGGGGAUCAAACAGGAUUAGAUACCCUAGUAGUCC